rnacentral:rRNA from 1 species
GACGAACGCUGGCGGCGUGCUUAACACAUGCAAGUCGAACGGAAAGGCCCUGCUUUUGUGGGGUGCUCGAGUGGCGAAAGGGUGAGUAACACGUGAGUAACCUGCCCUUGACUUUGGGAUAACUUCAGGAAACUGGGGCUAAUACCGGAUAGGAGCUCCUGCUGCAUGGUGGGGGUUGGAAAGUUUCGGCGGUUGGGGAUGGACUCGCGGCUUAUCAGCUUGUUGGUGGGGUAGUGGCUUACCAAGGCUUUGACGGGUAGCCGGCCUGAGAGGGUGACCGGCCACAUUGGGACUGAGAUACGGCCCAGACUCCUACGGGAGGCAGCAGUGGGGAAUAUUGCACAAUGGGCGGAAGCCUGAUGCAGCAACGCCGCGUGCGGGAUGACGGCCUUCGGGUUGUAAACCGCUUUCGCCUGUGACGAAGCGUGAGUGACGGUAAUGGGAAAAGAAGCACCGGCUAACUACGUG